AUUGAACGCUGGCGGCAUGCCUUACACAUGCAAGUCGAACGGUAACGGGCCUUCGGGUGCCGACGAGUGGCGAACGGGUGAGUAAUGUAUCGGAACGUGCCCAGUAGUGGGGGAUAGCCCGGCGAAAGCCGGAUUAAUACCGCAUACGACCUACGGGUGAAAGGGGGGGAUCGCAAGACCUCCCGCUAUUGGAGCGGCCGAUAUCAGAUUAGGUAGUUGGUGGGGUAAAGGCCUACCAAGGCAACGAUCUGUAGUUGGUCUGAGAGGACGACCAGCCACACUGGAACUGAGACACGGCCCAGACUCCUACGGGAGGCAGCAGUGGGGAAUUUUGGACAAUGGGCGCAAGCCUGAUCCAGCAAUGCCGCGUGCAGGAAGAAGGCCUUCGGGUUGUAAACUGCUUUUGUCAGGGAAGAAAUCUUCUGGGUUAAUACCUCGGGAGGAUGACGGUACCUGAAGAAUAAGCACCGGCUAACUACGUGCCAGCCGCCGCCGUAAUAC
rnacentral:rRNA from 1 species